rfam:Felis catus isolate Cinnamon breed Abyssinian chromosome C2, whole genome shotgun sequence.
ACCUGGGUGGCUCAGUCAGUUGGGCGUCUGACUUCAGCUCAGGUCAUGGUCUCGCAGUUCGUGGGUUCGAGCCCCACAUCGGGCU